GAUGAACGCUAGCGGGAGGCCUAACACAUGCAAGCCGAGCGGUAUUGUUUCUUCGGAAAUGAGAGAGCGGCGUACGGGUGCGGAACACGUGUGCAACCUGCCUUUAUCUGGGGGAUAGCCUUUCGAAAGGAAGAUUAAUACUCCAUAAUAUAUUGAACGGCAUCGUUUAAUAUUGAAAGCUCCGGCGGAUAGAGAUGGGCACGCGCAAGAUUAGCUAGUUGGUGAGGUAACGGCUCACCAAGGCGAUGAUCUUUAGGGGGCCUGAGAGGGUGAUCCCCCACACUGGUACUGAGACACGGACCAGACUCCUACGGGAGGCAGCAGUGAGGAAUAUUGGUCAAUGGGUGCAAGCCUGAACCAGCCAUCCCGCGUGAAGGACGACUGCCCUAUGGGUUGUAAACUUCUUUUGUAUAGGGAUAAACCUACCCUCGUGAGGGUAGCUGAAGGUACUAUACGAAUAAGCACCGGUUAACUCCGUGCCAGCAGCCGCGGUAAUACGGAGGGUGCAAGCGUUAUCCGGAUUUAUUGGGUUUAAAGGGUCCGUAGGCGGACUUAUAAGUCAGUGGUGAAAGCCUGUCGCUUAACGAUAGAACUGCCAUUGAUACUGUAAGUCUUGAGUAUAUUUGAGGUAGCUGGAAUAAGUAGUGUAGCGGUGAAAUGCAUAGAUAUUACUUAGAACACCAAUUGCGAAGGCAGGUUACCAAGAUAUAACUGACGCUGAGGGACGAAAGCGUGGGGAGCGAACAGGAUUAGAUACCCUGGUAGUCCACGCCGUAAACGAUGCUAACUCGUUUUUGGGCUUUAGGGUUCAGAGACCAAGCGAAAGUGAUAAGUUAGCCACCUGGGGAGUACGCUCGCAAGAGUGAAACUCGAAGGAAUUGACGGGGGCCCGCACAAGCGGUGGAUUAUGUGGUUUAAUUCGAUGAUACGCGAGGAACCUUACCAAGACUCAAAUGGGAAUUGACAGCUUUAGAAAUAGAGCUUUCUUCGGACAAUUUUCAAGGUGCUGCAUGGUUGUCGUCAGCUCGUGCCGUGAGGUGUUAGGUUAAGUCCUGCAACGAGCGCAACCCCUGUCACUAGUUGCCAUCAUUCAGUUGGGGACUCUAGUGAGACUGCCUACGCAAGUAGAGAGGAAGGUGGGGAUGACGUCAAAUCAUCACGGCCCUUACGUCUUGGGCCACACACGUAAUACAAUGGCCGGUACAGAGGGCAGCUACACAGCGAUGUGAUGCAAAUCUCGAAAGCCGGUCUCAGUUCGGAUUGGAGUCUGCAACUCGACUCUAUGAAGCUGGAAUCGCUAGUAAUCGCGCAUCAGCCAUGGCGCGGUGAAUACGUUCCCGGGCCU
rnacentral:rRNA from 1 species